CCUAACGGGUCGCACCAGUGGGGAAUAUUGCACAAUGGGCGCAAGCCUGGUGCAGCCAUGCCGCGUGUAUGAAGAAGGCCUUCGGGUUGUAAAGUACUUUCAGCGGGGAGGAAGGUGUUGUGGUUAAUAACCGCAGCAAUUGACGUUACCCGCAGAAGAAGCACCGGCUAACUCCGUGCCAGCAGCCGCGGUAAUACGGAGGGUGCAAGCGUUAAUCGGAAUUACUGGGCGUAAAGCGCACGCAGGCGGUCUGUCAAGUCGGAUGUGAAAUCCCCGGGCUCAACCUGGGAACUGCAUUCGAAACUGGCAGGCUAGAGUCUUGUAGAGGGGGGUAGAAUUCCAGGUGUAGCGGUGAAAUGCGUAGAGAUCUGGAGGAAUACCGGUGGCGAAGGCGGCCCCCUGGACAAAGACUGACGCUCAGGUACGAAAGCGUGGGGAGCAAACAGGAUUAGAUACCCGGGUAGUC
rnacentral:rRNA from 1 species